UUUUGUUAUCUUAAUGUAAUGGCGGAUACAUUUGAACCGAUACCCUGUUGCGCUCGGCUGAUGGUAGAGCAUGAAUGAUAUAAGGGCGCCAGGGCUAUGCGCGGAAAGUACUCUCAGGGUCGUGACGUUAACUAGCCCGUUCUGGUAAUUUGACCAUUAAAUUAUGAACAACGUGAGGUUGUCCGACUGAUCGUGUGAGAUGGAGGUGUGACCUGUCGCGGAGAUCUCUUACAGAAUUCGGAUACCUUAUUGACGGUUUACUUCGGAAGACGGUUGAAGACCUUGACGAUUGGAGCUGCUGGAGUUGACGAUGGUUGGAAUAGGAUAGAUUUAUUUUGACUGCUACGUUAGAUGUUGAUUUGCUUACGAGUGCCAAUUCUAGGGCAACUCUAAU